ACCUACGUGAACCCAAUCUGGUUCUAAAUCGAGGUCAAGGGCUCUAAAUUAAAUAAAUUGGACUUGAGAUCCAAGCAAGUAAAUUCAUGUUAUGAUAAAUUAGAAAAUUAUGAAAUAAAUAGAGAAUAAUGUGACCCCUAUGUGAUUUAUUUAGGUGAUCAAGGAUUUGUCAUCCGGACGUAAGAAAUUGGAAAGUAUAUUGCUAUGAUUAAGACCACUAGGAGCAGGGAGCUUGAUGUUAUUCAGGGUUGGGGUAAUUGAAAAUGUUAUGUAAUAAUCAGAUUUUAGAAGCUCUGUACUGUUCCAACUUCUUCACUAAUGUUAUGACAUUAGUAAAUGAAACUAUUUAUUUUUAUUAUGAAAUUUUA